rnacentral:lncRNA from 1 species
GGCGAAUUUGCAAGUCACGGAAAGGAGCUGCAGAAACAGGCUUGGAAACAACCCGGCUCGGCAGCAACCCGCGUUCGGCUAGGGCAAGGGACAGAGUCCCCCGGAGAGAGAUAUAAAAUCUUAAAUGGCGAUUCAAAAGACUGUUACAGAACGGAAGAGACUAACCUGGAACAUCUGAGAACAUCUAACUGUGAAUAUAGCAAUCUUCAAAAGCAUAGCUUCAUACCUAUAAUUGAGAGCAAAAUUAUGUAGAACAAUUUGCCAAACUGGGGACUAAAAGACAGAAUGUCUACAUUUUGAAGGGAUUGUCCUGAGUCACCAGUCAUCCAGAGAAAUGUGAACUGCCAUCUCAAAGAGCUGCAAAUGGUGAAAUUAAACUUUCAUAGUUC